rfam:Virgibacillus soli strain PL205 scaffold000034, whole genome shotgun sequence.
GGACAAGGAUCUUCCGUUAAAAGCGCUCAUGCCCUGUGGGCAACACGGAAGUCAGUACAUCCUGUACA